GAAAAACUGAGGGCAAGAAAUACAAAGCAAAACAUUUCCAAAUUGUUCACAGAGGAAAAUUUUCUUCCCAGUUCUUGAACAGGAGGUGAUCUGACAAAAAGCGUAUUUGCACCACAGGGUUUGUGAACACCCUAAGUUGUAAUGGGAAUGAGGUCAGCAGGAUAUAAAGUCUGGUCAGAUCUCUCUUCCACACCAGCUCUGCCCACACCAAGAUUGCAGAUACCUGAUGUAUUACUUCAUCAGCAAAUUCAACAAGGCCAAGAUGUCUUCAUUUUCCUUCAGAGCAAGAGCUGUAAGAGCAGUGUGGUGGAAGUAUUGGUCUUCUGUGGCCAGGCGGUGAGAGCCCAUCGACAGCUGUGAUGAGCAGAGCAGACACGGGAGACAGGAGGCAGCUGAAGCCAAAGAGGACCCACGCCUGGAGCUGUGUCUGUGUGAUUGGAGCAGAGAGAGGCCAGGACCCAAGGAAA